rnacentral:ncRNA from 1 species
UCUGUGGAUCGUUAUAGCAAAUGAGAGUAGUUAGUGAUAUUCAGUAUUUGGUGUCAUGACAAAAUCAGACGGGAUGAAGCAGAAA